GAAGUAGCUGAUACUAGAAUGUGCAGCAAAGAGGUCAAAGCUGUGAGUCUGUACUGGAGCCAUGAAUGAUAUAUGGUCCACUCAGGUACCAUGUGGCUUUGAUUUUUGAAAGCAUGAGACAAUUGAAUGAUGUUUUAGCUGCAAAACUAUCUGUGGGAAUAAUUUUUGACCGGGACUGCUUUUAUUUGAUACAUGGUUGUGGAUGGCUAGGCUGGACCAUUGCAUCUAAUGAACCAGUAUAACUAUUCCUUGUGGUUGAUCUUAUUGAAAUUUAUUUAACUAGGAUGGCACCUUUGGAGAUCAAAUACCAUGCCAUUCAUCCUUUCAAAUUAAAUUAAUUUUAUUUUGAUAAUGCUCGCCCCAUUAAUAUUUUCUAGUUAUCUAAAGAUGAUGCUUUUAUUAUUUCUCUUUUAUUUCUCUGUCUAAUUCCUCUGAAGCUUUUAAAUCAUGGCUCAUAUGCAUGUAUCUCCACAACCCCUUCGAGUCAAAAUUUGCAGAUUGCUUAGCUUGGCGAGCAUUUAAUCAAGUUUGCUGAGAGUUAAUCCUUCCUUUUGGUUGCUCUUACUGAGAUCUCUUCAUUUAGGAUGACUUCUUUGGAGGUCAGAUAUCGCACCAUUCAUCUGCCUAUAUUGUUUAGUUUGCAGUACACAUAAUACCCCAGGCGGAAUUCUUUUAAUUGCUUUGAAGUAUGUUGUGAAGCUAAUAUAUAUAAUAAUUAUGCAUGAUUCACUGGUUGUGUAACUAUGUUUUAGGAAAACUCCUCUCUGACCUGAACUUGCUCCAACUUCUUCGGGAUUGACAUCAAGUUGACUUCUGUUGGAAGUUUGUAAGUUCCUCGCCAAACUUUCUCAACCUUUUUUAAUUCUGCUAUCGCCAAUUUCGUAGACUCGGAUGAAUGGAUUGAGCAGCAACGCUAUUCUAGUGCCUCUUUGGCACGUCAUGCACCUUCACUUAAAGUUCUUUUUAGAAAUAUAAUUUUAUCUAAUUAUGUGCCUAAGACAUAUUCUUACAGUUUUUCAAAUGUUUUUGCUUGACAUUUUCACUUUAGUUCAAGCCUUAAUUAGCAUGUUGAUCAUGAAAAUACGUGAUGGGCAUUUAUUAUACCAAGAAAGAAGUUUCUUCCUUCUUCUAUAAUUGUUCUUGGGGUAACGGAGAAAUCGCCUUUAUAACAUAUCAUAUAUGAGCUUAUCAAAUUAAUGUUUCUGUUGAGAAUUAUUAUCCAAUUCAUCACAUACUUAGAUGUUAUUAGAGCUCAUUCAGUGUAAUUUUACGAAGUACUGACCCAUCUAUCUGUAUUCUUGAGCUACUUCGGCAGUUCCUUUAUAAAUCUUUGCCAGAGUUAAUCAUUGUGUGUGACCUUUGUAUUUUCAUGAGCAAGUAAAUCGACAGUGGUUGUGUUCUUCACAUAACCAAUCGCCCGGUGUGUUCUCACUUUUUGUCUAGUAAUUCUCAGAAUGCCAGCAAUUCAUGGGGAUUACUAGAGGUACCUCUCAUAAUUAGAUUGCUUUUUGUUUCGAAAUUGUGACUUAGUUUUUUGUUAUUCAUUUAUACAGGCAGUUUCUUGCAUAUACGCUUUCCCCUCAUUGUGUAAUUCUAUUACAAAUGCUCUUAUAUUCUAACCCUGUACUCUUUUAUUGCGGGCUUAUAAUUAUUUUUCUUUUCUUUUUCUGUUCCAUUUCAGCUGUACCAUUUGUCCCUUUCUCAAGCCAGAGGAUUCAUCAGAUCCUCAGGUAAGUCCCAGAGAACGCAGUCAGCACCAAAUAUACCACCGUCCCUUUUUCUGUCAUCUUUCCUGCCCUCGGCCUCUUCCCCAUCGUCAUCCUCCCCUUU
rnacentral:lncRNA from 1 species